rnacentral:tRNA from 1 species
GAAAUACCCAAAAGUAAGCUUCUAACUUAUAAUAAAGCGUAAACGUUUGUAUUUCU